rnacentral:rRNA from 1 species
UGGGGAAUAUUGCACAAUGGGCGCAAGCCUGAUGCAGCCAUGCCGCGUGUAUGAAGAAGGCCUUCGGGUUGUAAAGUACUUUCAGCGAGGAGGAAGGCGGUAAGGUUAAUAACCUUAUCGAUUGACGUUACUCGCAGAAGAAGCACCGGCUAACUCCGUGCCAGCAGCCGCGGUAAUACGGAGGGUGCAAGCGUUAAUCGGAAUUACUGGGCGUAAAGCGCACGCAGGCGGUCUGUCAAGUCGGAUGUGAAAUCCCCGGGCUCAACCUGGGAACUGCAUUCGAAACUGGCAGGCUAGAGUCUUGUAGAGGGGGGUAGAAUUCCAGGUGUAGCGGUGAAAUGCGUAGAGAUCUGGAGGAAUACCGGUGGCGAAGGCGGCCCCCUGGACAAAGACUGACGCUCAGGCGCGAAAGCGUGGGGAGCAAACA